GGCGGCGUGCCUAACACAUGCAAGUCGUACGAGAAAGUUGGCUUCGGCUGAUGAGUAAAGUGGCGCACGGGUGAGUAACGCGUGGAUAAUCUGCCUUUUAGUUGGGAAUAACGUACCGAAAGGUGCGCUAAUACCGGAUAAUACUGCAUAACUACUGUUGUGUAGUCAAAGAAGGCCUCUGUUUACAAGCUUUUGCUGAAAGAUGAGUCCGCGUACCAUUAGCUAGUUGGUAGGGUAAUGGCCUACCAAGGCUACGAUGGUUAGCUGGUCUGAGAGGAUGAUCAGCCACACUGGAACUGAGACACGGUCCAGACUCCUACGGGAGGCAGCAGUGAGGAAUAUUGCGCAAUGGGGGCAACCCUGACGCAGCAACGCCGCGUGAGUGAGGAAGGUUUUCGGACCGUAAAGCUCUGUCGAGCGGGAAGAAAUGUAUCAUGGCUAAUAUCCAUGAUACUUGACGGUACCGCUAAAGGAAGCACCGGCUAACUCCGUG
rnacentral:rRNA from 1 species